rnacentral:rRNA from 1 species
UACGGAGGGUGCAAGCGUUGUUCGGAAUCAUUGGGCGUAAAGCGCGUGUAGGCGGCUUGGCAAGUCAGUUGUGAAAGCCCGGGGCCCAACCCCGGAACUGCAUCUGAAACUGCCUGGCUAGAGUCCCGGAGAGGAAGGCAGAAUUCCCGGUGUAGGGGUGAAAUCCGUAGAUAUCGGGAGGAAUACCAGCGGCGAAGGCGGCCUUCUGGACGGUGACUGACGCUGAGACGCGAAAGCGUGGGGAGCAAACAGGG